UCCAACAGCAUCAUCACGAAUACAAGUGCUUUGUGCUCAUUAAACUUUGGGACAUUGAAACACAGGCCAGGGGAGAUGAUUGGAUAGGAAGUAUUGCUCUAUCCAUUUACCUCCCAGCCUAUGAAA